ACUCCUACGGGAGGCAGCAGUGGGGAAUAUUGCACAAUGGGCGCAAGCCUGAUGCAGCCAUGCCGCGUGUAUGAAGAAGGCCUUCGGGUUGUAAAGUACUUUUCAGCAGUGAGGAAGGUGGAUAUGUUAAUAGCAUAUUCAUUUGACGUUAGCUGCAGAAGAAGCACCGGCUAACUCCGUGCCAGCAGCCGCGGUAAUACGGAGGGUGCGAGCGUUAAUCGGAAUUACUGGGCGUAAAGCGCAUGCAGGUGGUUUGUUAAGUCAGAUGUGAAAGCCCGGGGCUCAACCUCGGAAUUGCAUUUGAAACUGGCAAACUAGAGUACUGUAGAGGGGGGUAGAAUUUCAGGUGUAGCGGUGAAAUGCGUAGAGAUCUGAAGGAAUACCGGUGGCGAAGGCGGCCCCCUGGGACAGAUACUGACACUCAGAUGCGAAAGCGUGGGGAGCAAACAGGAUUAGAUACCCUGGUAGGCUCU
rnacentral:rRNA from 1 species